AGAGAGGGAGAGAGAGAGAGCGAGCGCGAGAAGGACGGCGUGAGAGAUCGAGCCUCAUUCCACUGCUUUCUCAGCAUCCAUUCUGUGCGACCCUGUUCCAGAGAGGACAGCGCCUCAUGUUAGACAAAUUCAAAGAAGGAGACGAAUUCAUCCCAAGAGGACGCAUACGCGGAGAAUAAGACCCAAUUAGGGCUCGCCGGCAUCCUCUGCCGCGUCUCGUAGCUGUGGCGGGGGGCGGCUGAAAGUUUCCGUCAGAGGGGGACGUCUCCACCUCGCCGUGGGGAUGAGCGGCGGAUGCUGAAUCUUAUUCCGGGAGGCAGGAAGCAGGCUGGAUAGGAGGCAGCGGAGCUGGUGGAGCUCCAGGGGAGAUCCUACGGCGCUGCCUCGCUGCCGCUCCAGUAACGCGCACGCCGUCCUCUAAGUGUGCCGCGGUGGAAUAUCUGGGAGCAGGAAGGAAAGUACGGGCAGCGGAUUAUACGCGCGAGCCGCGACGGACAUCCCGUUGGUAAAAAGUAAGUUGUGAUCGGGGUCUGAUUGCGAGGAACUCGGCGGAUUUUGCCCCUUUUUUGGUUCUGGCGGAUCCCGCUGAGCCUCACGCAGCCCGCGUUGUGGACUGUAGGGUUCUGGAGGCUGUUUGAAGGCUGCGCUUGUUCAGGCGCUCACCCGCUGUCCUGCCAUUAAGCAGACAUGUUUUCCGCCGUCUCAGAAAGGCCCCGGAGUAAGUGACCUGUGAAUAGAGUCACUCUGGGAAUUUUCUAAAGGACUUCCUUUGCUUCUCUAACAGUGUAUGGACAUCUGACAUUGGGAAGCCUAGCAGAUAAAAGACUGAAAAGAGGCGCCACCAGACGAAAUCCGAGCGGAAAGAAUAGGCCAUGGCUGUGGGGAUGAUUGCUUCUCCAACUGGUAAGCAUUUGGGUUUCCUCUCUAUAUGCUCUUAGACAGUAUGAACCUGUAAACUCAUCCUCUUCAUUUCCUCUCUAUAUUGGCAAAACAUUUUUAGGUAAGUCUUGCUUAUGCACAUUAUAGACAUCUAUGAAACAAGCCUUCAUUGAAAUGCAUAUUUCCGUGCUUUUUUCCAUUCGCUGUGUUUCCACAAUAGAAGCGCGUUAUUAUGUGCAUGGGAUUGUUUGACAAAUGUCAAGGGCGCUUCUGUUAAACCGUAAGGCAAGGACGUCAUCCUUCACACUUCUUCUGCAGUUCAGAGCUGUUUGGUAGAACAACUCGGGUCUCACGUUGCCAUGGAAACUAUUGUAUUUUGUCUAAGUGCCUCCACAUUCAGCUUUUAGAUCCCUAACAACUGUGUUGUGCACACGUUUGCAUAUGAGAGGGUUAAUUAAUAGCUGCACAAUGAGCGUGAUGUCUUUGUCCAAAGACAACUGAGACGCUAUGUUAAUUAUUUAUGGUUGUAAUAGUGGCAGGCAACGCAUGCACAUACAGUACACUAGCUACAGCGUGACAGCAGUGAAUUCCUAAAGGUUGAGGUUAGUGCGGAGCAGAGUCUGAGGAAAGGACAGACUCACUUAACUCAGACGUUUCAGCAGGAAUCAGACGAGUGCAGCUCCGAAAGGUCAUUAGGAUUCUGGCAGGUUUUGAUCUGGGCGACUGCAGCCUGUUCCAGCCUGUUCCAGAGAGAAAGGCGGAUGUUGGAGCUGCUCUCGUGUAGUUAUGUAAGCCAGGAUUGAGACCAGGCUUUAUAAGAAUAGAUGACAGCGCUGUUGCACCGUCCUUCAGCCUGGUUCACAUUUAUCAUCUUGCAGCUUCCAGGACCUCAGAGUCACUCGUGUUUCUUGAAAUUAGAUAUUGUUUAGGAACAAAUGACCAGCAGCAAAAUAUAGUCGCAGUUCUACAUCCAAUGCGUUUAUAUAGAGAGGGAGGAGGCGCUCAACAUGAAGCGACAAGAUCAAGUUUACAAUUUCAACUUCAGCGCUUACACCCACAGUGAGCACAUUACUAGCGGAAAGCAUGCGUUAGCCAGUAAUGAAUUCAGACCCUUGCCCCAUCGCUGUCUAUCUAGGCCAAGAACCUGCUGGAAAGACUUAUUUGCUGUACCUGAAUUUCAGCAGGUUUAUCUGAAGCAGUGUAUCCCUGAAGCAGGCCUAAUCUGGGAGGAUGACCCACACCGCCCCAGGCUAGAUCAAACUCAGGGCUAAAGCCACAGCUCUCCCACAGUCCCAGCUACGCCACCCUUUGAUAGUCAAAGGCCCAAAUCCUUUAAAUGUCGGGCAGACUUUGAGAGACACUACAGCUCAGGAAAAGAAGCAACCACUUGCUGGGAGCUUACAUUCUCUGGGGAAAAGCAAUGUCCCACUUUCAGAAAAGGGGGAGAGUACCUUCACAUCACUUCAGGCACCACUUGGAGGCUGUGGCAGCAGGUAUGAGGACAUUCAUACUCCCAAAUGGUUUUGUGAAGGUGGAGAAGUGGCCUCCAUCUUACUUCCUCCUGUCUCAUGCAUCACACUUAGGAAGUGAUAGAGGCGAGGGGUCGGCUCCAAAGGGAGUUCAGCCCUCGGUGCACGGUGCCGGCUGACGCUGUCAAACUGCACAAAUGGCCGCACUCUCUGUGUUCACGGAACAUUUUUUACUGUUGUUGUUGAGGGUGGUGAUAAUAGUUAUGAUUUGCAUACCUUUCACGUUCUUAAAGAGCGUUUAGUUUAGUUUUAUGAUGAGCUGUUGCACAUUGGGCAGUGGAUUCAUUUGGCCAGUCAGACACCUGCGGUGAGCGUUGUUCUGCAUGUGGCUAUGGUGACACACUUAAUUUUAAUGUUUGUCAGAAUAAAUGAAGACAUGUAGCCCUGAUGUGUGUUUUAAAGCUCCCAGUAGUCCCCUGCAAGAUAAUAGACAGUCAGGCCUGAAUGUGUUAUUGUUUCAGUCGUGCAGCGAUCCAGGGCCUGAGUCCUGCCUGGGUUCAGACUGGGUUUUUGCUUUUACUCUCCAUUUUUAUGUUCCAUGUUGUCAUAUAGGGGACACACAAAGCAGUUCAGAGAGCUUAUGGUCUUAUAGGGCUCUUUCUGGGGGGGCCGUGGGGAUAGACAGCUCAGAAGUGGAUAAAUGUUUCAUUGCUGUUGGGCAACAAGGAAAAAGAGAUUUUCCUGGGUGUCGAAGUGGAAGAGAUGCCAUUGGGUGGGUGAAAGAGACGAGGUGAAAGCAGGACACGUUGCCCAGCAAACAGUGAGGGGGAAGUGGAAAUAGAAAGGAUGGAAAGAUGCUGUAGAGGGAAGACACAUAAAUAUAGAUGAAAUCAGAGGAGGUGGGAAGGGAGGGAUCAACGACUGAUGAAUGAAAGUGAAUAAUGUGAGACAGAGACAGAGAAACGUGGACUCGGAUCCUGACUGCAUCUGCACCAGGGAUUAUUCUUUUGUGGCUGCUGUUAGCUCAUGACACGAUAACGCAUUCGCAGACGGCGACGGCAGAUGUCAACAAGCUAAUACAGACACAUCUAUUGUGAUUUAUUUGGCAAUCUGGGGACGAAUGCUGCAGAAUUCAUCAUUAAUGACAAUCCUGAUCUACAGAGAAGGAAUUGGCAUCAUUUUAGCAAACAGUACUGGAUAGGUGCCAUUAUGCAACAUGGCCCAGUGUCGUGUGUCCAGAGGGAGCUCAUUUUUAAUUUAAUAUGAAGUUGGAGAAGUUACUUACCCGACGGUUUUAUCUCAUUUGGAUUUAGGGUCACUUAAAUUAGAGGAGACACCAGAGAGAAUGUUCCUGCAGUCGCUUGCCAACACGACUGUAUGUAGUUCAUGAGACAUGGAUCCCAACCACAGCAGCGGCUUUUCCCUUUGAAUCCGCGCUCCCACACCUCGGGGAAACCCGGAAGCGAGACGGAACUAAGAGCCCACAACAGUUCCUCGUCUCUGCUCUCUAACUCGCCUCGAUUCCUGCUUCUCUCACUCAUGUGAGAGAAAGUCUGAAGUAGGUUAGCACUCGGCGCCUGCACAAGGGAGGAAAUUGAAAUGCUGAAAUAAGGAGUAGCUUGGGAGAAGAUGGAGGAGCUAUAACCGGGACAAAAUUGCCCCGCCAUGAUGAGAAGGAGAGUCAUAUCUGCUUGGACACAGGGGAGUUCCUCCACUGGCCAAUCGCGAGGCGUGUUGCCAUCUUUUAUUCUUCAUUCCAAUCUCAGUUUAGUGUCAACACCAGCCUUAUGAAUAGUUCCUUUUUUUUCCCUUCUUCUACGCUUGUUGCAUCCACAUCCCCUGCCAAAAUUGCAUUGCCACGCUGGGGUGUACUGGUUUGUGAGUGUAGGGAUUUAAUAUACUUGAGAAUGAAGCGGGCGUCCUCCUCUGCUCCGCUCUGUUCUUACCAGAAAUUACUCAAGGGAUUUUGAUCGAGCCGCAGGAAUUCGAGCUGCAACUUCAUUGGCUCAGGCACGAGGACGCGCCCGGCCGUAGCCUUAGCCAUAGCAUUAGCCUUAGCCGUAGCCUUAGCCAUAGCCUUAGCCAUAGCCUUAGCCGCAUUAGCACAUGGGGACGCUCUCCUGUGGUAUGUUCAUGUUCAGCAGCAUCACCUUCAGCUUCCUGCCGCUGUCGCUACACUGUCGCUCUCCCUCUUUUCCCCGAGUCACUAUCCUAAUUUCAGCUCUAUGCCGAAGCGCCUCACGCCCACUUCCUAAAUUGGAUAACGGAAAACAAUGUCCACUUCCUAAGCAAUCCAUUUCUCAAAAUCCAUUCGGUUCGAGCUUGAAAGACACACGCUGAGAACAGAUGACAGUGACGUUGAUGCUCUGGCUGUGUGGCAAAUAGCUUGUUGUUUCAUGAGAAUGUGAAAGAGACAUGGACGAGUGGCACAGACAGUCCCAAUUCAUUAACCCGUAACGGGUGGCAGGUCUGACGCGCAGCGCUGCUUUUGAAGGCUUGUCACUCUGCUGAAUAUUUUAUGCAAAGCCAGGUCUCUCUACUGUAACAUAUUCCUUCCAGCUGCGUCGCAGACAGUACAGGCUCCAUUUGUCUUGUCCUCGCUGCGAGGCAAACCUCCCCCAUCAGUCUUAAUGAUAAACACAUGAUUUGCCAGAGGUCAUUUUUUAAAAAUAAAAAGUCUUUAGUUUUUGUCUUUUAUAAUUUCCUGAUGACUGAUUCAUAGGAAAUGAAGUUCAUUUUAUAUUAUUUUUUGUUUGUUGCUCUGUAUUCGACUGCUGCUUUCUGUGCACAUGUUCCUGUGCAUAAACUCCCUGGAGAAUCUACACAGAAAAGGGUUUAAUGGAUAAGCUUGGGUCAAAGUGGCUGAAAGAGCCAUGUGGUCCUGAUGGCUGCGCCUCCACAAGAGGGGUUGGAAAUGGAGAAGGAAAAAACGUACAGUAGGUUUGCUGCAGCGGUACGGUCUAAAAGCCACGUCUACAGUAAUACCCAGAGUCCAUUUCUACAUGCACCCACAUGCAGCACAGCCCAGAGAGAGGUUCAGGGCUUGGGCUUCACUGCAUCAAAAUGCACUGUGCCAAGUCAGAAAAGACGGGCCGGUCCCCAGACAGGAGCAAACACGCUGAUCCAGGAACAGCAGCAGUCAACCACUGUAGUGAUGAGUGGCUCGGUCCCAGGACGCUACAGGAGGGAGCGUGAGUCGAGGCCUCUCCGGUCCGUUCAAGGCUGGACCCAACUCAGAUUAAAGGAGCUGCUCGCUCACAGAAGAGUCAUCUCUAUUAUCACGACUUCAUUGUCAGUCAUUGUUACUGUAGUCUACUAGUUGCUGAUGACCUUAUUAUUGCAAAAUGGAGACACCACCAGCACAUAAUGUCAUUACCAUCAAUGUGUCUUAGCAUCAGAGCUGGAGGUAAUGUUCUGUUUUUAUAUAUAGCACCAAAACACACCAAAGUCGUCUCCAGGCACUUCACCGCGUGAGGUCCAAGGCCUGAACACAAAAAUACAGUUGAAUAAAACACGAUAGACAGAGCAACAAAUCCCAGCUGAGCAGCUCUAGAAAGAAAAGACGAAGCACGGGUGGGUUGGAGGAGCGAGCGAGCGGGUCCGGCGGUACCUGCGGAGCGGAGCGGCGCCGAGCGAGAGCACUGGCUUUCUUUAUUGUGCGAGAUUACAAGUCACCGAAGACGUGUGGGCCGCUAGAAAGUGAUGCACAAGGAGAAGGGAGUAAACGAGAAUGUGGGGGUGUUUAUUUGAUCACGAUGAUUACCGCCGCUCUUCUGAGACGCCGACCCGCCUCAGAAACAACGCGAAGACGUAACCCAGCGCCACAACCCCCCCCGUGAUUGACUGGACCGGCGCCGGCUCAUUCUUUCCAUGCACAUGCUCUCUGUUUGGGCUUAUUUACUGCUCCAACACACCGGCAGCCCACCUCAGAUGGCCACGCAGCACUGUAAAGAGCCAGCAAGCGAAUCAGUAGUUACAUUUUAAAUCAAAGAAAUGGAGAGAGGGGUUUUUAAUGGACUCCACUCAGUGUGUCUGUGAAAAGAUUAAGCCCCCGCUGACUGGGAGGAGGCUCGAUGUCUCUCCCCGCAGAAUCAACACAUGAAAGAGCUCCGCUUCCCCGAGGCCAUUCCUCUGUUGAACAGUGUGCCGGCGCCGGACCGGCCCUCGCGCUCCACACUUUGUGUUGUGACGCAGUGGAUGCAGCUGAGUGUGUUCAACACAUCCAAACAUGCUCAGAUCAAUUUAUGCUGGACGUACGGCGCUUCCACCAGCGUUUUGCCCAUGAGGCUGUUUAUUGUUAGCGCUGCUGUGAAGCCCUGACGUACUCCACAUGUCCAUGAGCCACAGUCAUCUUUCUGUCUUUAUCGACUUCAUGUUGUUUAUAUAUGAGCCCAAGUAUGAAGCUACGUAACCCAGGAUAUGAUUUGCAUUUGCAUUUGGUUCUCAGGUCACAAGCGUCUUUGUUCAGAGGUAAUUUGUGACAUUUCCUGCCUUUCUAAUGUGCUUUUACACCAUCAGUUGUCUGGUGGAGAGGAAGGCUGGGUAGGGAGUCAAUAGCUCUAUUAGUUCUUCCACAGCAAAUCCAUACUAUAGGAAGGAACACUUAAUUAAAGACAAAAUACAGGCCAUCAUUAUGAAGACAAUGAGGGUCAGUCAAUCAAAAACUGUCCUGAUUCACGAGCGUUUGAGGUGAUAAUUAUGAGGCAAAGCCAAGAACGCCCUCUUCAAUUUAUUAUGUGUAUUUUUAGUAUUAAUUUCCAAUGGUGCAAAUAAAUGAAGGUUUAAAAUAACUGAUCUUUGGAAGGUUUUGGUAAAUGACUGUUUUAAACCAACCCAUGAAAAGGCCUUUUUUAGAUGACACUGAAGCGAGCGUGGAUGAAGCCGGCCUCACGUCGCCCACGGGGAGCAGUUCCAGCGCCGGCGCCGGUUGUAGGUUAUGGCUUUGCUGAUGCUACAACAGGAAUUGUCCAGAUCGUGCUGGAAUCGUGUUCACCUUCCCCCAGAGUCCAGCGUUAGUGGAUUUCAUGCAGUGAAUGGGCUUGAAAUCCUCCACGGCCGCAAUCAGCGCCGGCAGAAACCAGCGGGAGAGCGCGCCACCUGUGCUGCGCUCCCACAUCUGCAUUGUUUCCCCGCGUAGACGGGAUCCACGCACAUCCAGGUUUACGGGCAGGUAAACUCUGAGCGCGUGCGCCGCCAGCGCCGCCGCUGCUUCCUGCGUCGUCGCGAUGCACGCAGAUGUGCUCCACGCGCACAUUUGCUGCAGCGUUGGCGCUUUUAUUAGGUUUCAGACAGACUGAGCGAUGUCAGGCGCCCAGUGCUCACCCUCCUCUCUGCAGCAAUCUAUUCUUACCUAAUUAUUUGGUGGGGUGGACUUGAGACCUGCCUUAAUUUGCAACUACGCGGUGUGCAAUUAAUCAAGGCCCUUGCUAACUGACAGCCCUAAUGGAUGCACUCAGCUCCUCUGUGAUUGUCUUCUGACUGCCCGUUCCUCCGGUGCGUAGCCGCAGAAUUUGGACAAGCAUAUCCUUCAAGAGUGGCUACACAUACGAGAACACUUCCCCCGAAUUGAAUGGUGGGGUGGAGUGCGGAGCGAGUACAUUCAUCUUUGCUUACCCACACCCACCUCUCAGUCGCGCCGUGGUAAUAGCCAUGCUGGUAAUAUCAGCCUUUGGUUCUUGAUGAUACCAAAAGGCCCGUGCUCGACUGAAGCGUCCGCGGCAGCAAUUCAGAUUGACUUUAAACACAUCCUGCUUUUUGUUUGCUUUGUUUUUCAUUUGAGCAGAAGAGUAGAGGUUAUAUGCUUACAUAAAAGGGAGGAAGCGAGUGGCAUUGAGACAAAGGCAAGCACAGGUGCUUUUAAGGUUUCCAAACAGUCCUCUGGCACUUAAGGUUUCUCCCGCACUCACACGGAGAGAGAGCGAGGAUGCUGCCUGAGGUAAUGUAAUGACAGAUAUGUGGCUGCAUUUACACCUGGAAAAAAACUUUUCAGAGAAAGUCUGCGUUCUCCAAAGAUCUGACCCCUGUGAGGGUGUGAUGAUGUGCUCUGUAGAGCAUUAGUUCUAAACUUUGCGGAUACAAUUCAAGUGCAUUACACCUUCAGAGAGACCUUUUUAUGCUGGAUCUCAGGGUGAGAUGGUGGAACUAUAGGCCUCAUCACGGCACUUAAAAAUCACAAGCACUUUAGCUGUACAGCCUCGUAAGUACCACACGAGUGUGUAGUAUUUCUUAGGUAGACGUAGUUCCACUUUGUAUCUCACAUGGUCUGUUGACCUUUUCACAUCUUCUCCAGCCUUUUCUUUCCACCCUCACAAUAGCUUUGUCAAAUCAGCUGGUAAAAAUACUGUAGUUUCAGUUUUUAUGGUUCCCAUAAUCUCAUCUUGAAUACAUAUUUCAUAGCACAAUUUCUUUUUUCUCUUUGAAUAAGUGCAAAAUUAUAAUUUUAAAAUGACUUAACAGUUUGUAAGGAUUCAGAUGGUGCUAACGGUCCAUGAUAGAAUCCCAGACACAGUCGUCAUUGUCUACUUCCAUCAUUGUUUCUGCUUUAUGGACCCACAGGCAGCCGCGAAUGACAAAUUACUGAGGGUACAUGAUGAGGAGUUGCUGUAAUGAAUCGCAAACAGUGCCAAAGAAGAAAGAUGGGUGGAGACAGCCGAGUGCCAAUGUGACGGGUGAAAGCGGGACGAAAUUCCCGAAAGCAGCGGCGCUGAUGUUGUUGCUUCUGACAGCAGUGCUGAGGAGUGCAGCUCAACCCGCAAACUUUUUCCCUAUGUAAAAGCCCCGGAUGGCUGCGAGCCUAACAAGCUUCUUUAAGCGCUGUGCCAGUUCCUCUUUCCCUCCAUCCGUCUCUCCAUCAGACCCAUCAGGAGAUUUACGGAGAUGAGACUUUGGACCGGUUCGCAGCGGUUGGCACAAAUUAAUAGCACAACCUGCCGUCAGUAAAAUUUCACGAUUUGACUCUUUUAAUGUGCACUAACUGCACUCACGUCGUCGGCAGUGGCUGUGUUAUUUCUCCCGGAGUCUGUGUGGGUGGUCUCUGGGUCCUCCCGCUCCCUCCCACCGUCCAAAGACGUGCCAUUAGGUUAAUUGGUGAUUUGAACUGGUAUGAAGUGCCUGUGUGUGUCAGCCUGUGUUGGACUGGUGACCUGGUGACAGCUGGAAUUGGCUCUGCAGCACUUAGGUUCCAUAAUGGAUGGAUGGAUAUUAUAGUACUACAAGCAGUGGUUCCACUGAGGAUGCUGUCGUCGUCUUCUCCUGUGUUGAAUAGAUGUCCCUGAUUAGUAAUUAAGUGCAAUCAUGUGAAUUGUUCCUCAUGUGAUUUAAAAAUCCAUCUACUUCUGUAUGUCAUACUUGUUGUUGUCCUCUGUUUAAUAGAGAAGCUCCCUGGCUGGUUUUCUAUACUGUAGUCACACUAUACAUCCACAGUCCUUACUUCUAUGUGAUGAAGUUAACAAUAAUUGAAUUAACCUUUUGAUAUAACCCCGAAAUUGCAUAACGGCGUGGCCGAGCCUCGCUGACGUUACUUUGGAUUAAAACAUGCACCAGAUGGCAUCUGCUAAUCCAACUGUGACAGCAUUGCUUGAGAUACCAGUGACCAAAAAACUGCCCAAAAUACCACUGCCGACAAUGUGCGCCUCGACCUUUGUGGUCUCUCUCCCAGAUGGAGCGUGUACAUUGAUGGAAAAGCCCCAGGGUUAUGGUGAUAUGAAUGGCCAAGUGCUGACCUUUGACUCUGCGGCGCUUUACCCCCAACUGUGAAUAAAUGACUCUAAAGGGCCCCAUCCCUGAGCAUUAAUGUGCUCAGCAAAGCUUCAAGCUGCUCACAGGGAGCAGAGUGAAAAAUGUGCCAUUAAGUCCGUACAGUGCAGUGAGACAGUGACAGUAAAUGUUGGAACAGCUCUUUUAGGAGCCCUGUUGCUUUUGUCGUUCACAAAUCAGCUCUGUGUUAAGGGCACGAAAGGUAACAAUGCAGGAGCCGGGCUGAGAUUAAACACAAUGUGAAGUAAUGAAACGUAUUAAUCAAGUUGAUAAUUGCUACCGGCACAUUUUAAUCAGGUAAAAUUAAAGGUAACAAUUUAAACUAAUUGAGUAAAUGAGCAAGUCUCAAAAGAACAUAAUCAUGAAUGUUCUGAAGUUCUGAAAUCCCAGUUUGUCUUUUAGAGUAUUUAAAUAUUAUUAGUACUUGCAGUAGUAUCUAGCUAAACGUAUUUAUAAAACACAAGAUACGUAACUGUGAUGAAUGUAUUAUAGAGAUUAAGCAAAUUAUCUGUUUUCUUCCUAAUUAAAUGGGAUACAUGAACUGAACAUAAAACUGAGGCAAAAACGAGCCUGAACGGCUGAGUCUGUUAGUUCCCGUGAUGCUUCUCUCCUCGUGCAGCAGCCGCCCGCUGUCGUCUGGGCCUCGGAGGCCACAGCAGGAGCAAGUGAGAGCGUGGACGAGAGCCGUCCACAGAGAUCAGGAUGGCGUUGCAGAUGGCGCGCGCUCACCCACAGAGCGGGAUCCAGUUGGUCUCACAGGGAACAGCGAAGCGAAGCCGUGAUGCGUUCACGUGCGUGGGUCAUUCAGCUUUCCGAGGAUCCCCUGAACAAACACAGUUCAGGAGGAUCCACGAGACAGAAUGUUUAAUUCUCCAUCUAAGUGAGUUGUGAUUGUCUGGUCACGGCUGUUCCGAGGCUCAUCAUGCUCCAGGAUUGCUUCCUCACAAAAGCAAAUGUGCGCAGCUAAAGGAAAACCACGCAGACAUUAA